rnacentral:lncRNA from 1 species
UAUGCUUUGGCUGACCAGGACCAGGAUGAUGAGAUGUAGACACACCUCCUCAAGGAGUUUUGCAAGACGUCCCACCCACAUCAACAGGUGGUGGGCCUUUUGAUGACAGCUAUGGAAAAGUCUUUCCAGAAAAAUGCACGUGCACAUAAAAUUAGAAUGUUUCCAAGAUACGCAUGGACCCUGUGAAACCCACUGAAGAUUCCAUGGCCCCAGAGUUUUCCAAGGGGUCCUGCAGCCAACAGACAAUGCUCAGCUGGAGAGAAUACAGGAAGCAGCUAACCACAUUCUGCACCGACUGUCGUCCUUUGAUCCUCUCUUUAUAUAGUGUGCUAAGGACAUGUGGAAUUAAUUUUGCUUCUGAGGCUUCACUAAUUGCCAACUGACACAUUUGUUUCUAGA